rnacentral:tRNA from 1 species
GCCCGGGUGGCGAAAUUGGUAGACGCAAGGGACUUAAAAUCCCUCGACUUCGGUUGUGCGGGUUCGAGUCCCGCCCCGGGCA